GACGAACGCUGGCGGCGUGCUUAACACAUGCAAGUCGAACGGUGAACCUCUUCGGAGGGGAUCAGUGGCGAACGGGUGAGUAACACGUGGGCAACCUGCCCCCGGCUCUGGGAUAACUCCAAGAAAUUGGGGCUAAUACCGGAUGUUCACCGCUUCCCGCAUGGGUGGUGGUGGAAAGGGUUUCCGGCGGGGGAUGGGCCCGCGGCCUAUCAGCUGGUUGGUGGGGUAGUGGCCUACCAAGGCGACGACGGGUAGCCGGCCUGAGAGGGUGACCGGCCACACUGGGACUGAGACACGGCCCAGACUCCUACGGGAGGCAGCAGUGGGGAAUAUUGCGCAAUGGGCGGAAGCCUGACGCAGCGACGCCGCGUGGGGGAUGACGGCCUUCGGGUUGUAAACCUCUUUCAGCAGGGACGAAGCGCAAGUGACGGUACCUGCAGAAGAAGCACCGGCCAACUACGUG
rnacentral:rRNA from 1 species